CCCAAACCCUGUUUUCCUCAAAGUCUCCAACAUUCUUUCUCUCUUCAAACUCUGCGAUUCACAGUUUUCGUUUUUUCUUCAAGUCCUGCGAGGUCAAAUCGGUGAUGGCAAUAAAGAGUUGUUUUAAUGAUCUAAAUCAAUUGUGGCAACCUCUUGGCAAGGAGAAGGUUGAAUACUUCACUCUGCAAGAUCUUUGGGACUGCUACUAUGAAUGGAAUGCUCACCAACAGAAUCCUCUAUGCAAUCAACUACCAUAUUGAAAAAAAAAGGAAGAUAUAAUCUCAGUACUCAAUAACCUGAGUUUGCUUUUCCUUAUAUAUCUAUUGUGCUGAAAGAAGUUCAUAAUAACUAAGUAUUUGUAGAGAGUAGAAGGUGAUGAUGACAACAGAAGUAGUGGCAAAUUGUAAAACACAUUAAGAAAAAAUUGAACAAAGAAAGAAAUUUAGGUGAAGGACAAGGCAAGAGGACUAAAAAAGGUUAAGAAGUUUGCAGAGAGAAAAAGAAAGAUAUGUGGAUGACAAAAUUGACCAGGCAAAGACUAGAAACUAUCUUUUUGACUUCUUUGGCUACAUUCCUUAUUUUGUUCCCUGUUUCAAUUAGUACUGCUAAUAGCAUGCCCAAGUUUCAAUGCAGAGUUCACUUUAUCCCUUCAUUUUUUAUUUUUUAGCCUUCCUUUGUAGUAUGUAACCAUACUAGUAAAGUCUUUGUGUCAAAUGUUUCCCUUUCUCAUGUUUCUUUUGAAGAUUAACAGUGUACUAGCUGAAUUAUGCUUGAUGGUGAUGGUCAAUGGUGUGGUAAUAUGGUGUUCUCUUGUUCAUUAAUUCCUUAUAUUGACAAUCAUUAUUUAUAAAUCACUCAUAACUUGUGUUGUCAUGUCUUGGCUACUAUCAAGUUUUAUAUUAGACUUAAACGUGUUGUAAUUCAUCUUUUUGAUUCAUAAUACUUGUCAUAAUUGUGUCUUUCAUUACUGAUGUUUACAUUAUAUUCUUAUUUAAUUAGUUUAUCGAUGAUUUGACAGGCAUUAGGUUAAUGCGCAUGGAGCUCAAACAGUGUAUGCAUCGGAACCAGUCCAUGGUCGUUUGAGCCAAUGUUUCCUGGAGAGAGUGGGGUUGAUUAGUUGGUUGAGAUCAUUAAGAUCUUAGGAACACCAACCAUAGAAGAAAUAAAGUGUAUGAAUCCAAAUUACACUGAAUUAAGUUUCCUCAGAUAAAAGCUCACCAUUGGCACAAGGUUUUCCACAAGAAGAUGCCAACAAAAGCAUUUUGUGGAGCAUUAAAUGAUGUUAGUGCAAUUAGGUACUUGUUUGUAACAUUUUAUGGGACAUAUUUAGAAUUGUUUGUAAC